GAUGAACGCUGGCGGCGUGCCUAAUACAUGCCAGUCGAGCGAACGGACGAGAAGCUUGCUUCUCUGAUGUUAGCGGCGGACGGGUGAGUAACACGUGGAUAACCUACCUAUAAGACUGGGAUAACUUCGGGAAACCGGAGCUAAUACCGGAUAAUAUUUUGAACCGCAUGGUUCAAAAGUGAAAGACGGUCUUGCUGUCACUUAUAGAUGGAUCCGCGCUGCAUUAGCUAGUUGGUAAGGUAACGGCUUACCAAGGCAACGAUGCAUAGCCGACCUGAGGGGGUGAUCGGCCACACUGGAACUGAGACACGGUCCAGACUCCUACGGGAGGCAGCAGUAGGGAAUCUUCCGCAAUGGGCGAAAGCCUGACGGAGCAACGCCGCGUGAGUGAUGAAGGUCUUCGGAUCGUAAAACUCUGUUAUUAGGGAAGAACAUAUGUGUAAGUAACUGUGCACAUCUUGACGGUACCUAAUCAGUAAGCCACGGCUAACUACGUG
rnacentral:rRNA from 1 species